UACGUAGGGGUCGAGCGUUGUCCGGAGUUACUGGGCGUAAAGCGUGCGCAGGCGGCUCAUUGCGCCCGGCGUGAAAGCCCCCGGCUCAACCGGGGAGGGUCGUCGGGGACGGGUGAGCUUGAGGGUAUCAGGGGUUGGUGGAAUUCCCGGUGUAGUGGUGAAAUGCGUAGAGAUCGGGAGGAACACCCGUGGCGAAGGCGGCCAACUGGGAUACACCUGACGCUGAGGAGCGAAAGCGUGGGGAGCGAACAGG
rnacentral:rRNA from 1 species